rnacentral:tRNA from 1 species
AUUUUGAUGGCUGAAUAUAGCGAUAAAUUGUAAAUUUAUUAAUGAAAAUUAUUUUCUCAAGUUU